GUAGUCUUAGUAAACAACUUUCUGAGUAUGCCAACUGGAAAAAUGUAGAAAAACCUUCUCCAAACAAUACAAAAGGCAUGUCGGUGUUUAGCAGUCCAGACAGGGUUGGAGAUGUUGGUUUUGCUUUGGGCGCACCUGCUACAGAUAAAGAAGUUAUAGAUGACCUUUCCCAAGGAGAUUCAGUGAGAAGCUCUGAAAAAGAUGAAGGGGAUGACAGCUGGCUUACAUCAGAGGAGGAAGAACUAGAUUUUAC
rnacentral:lncRNA from 1 species